ensembl:lncRNA
GCCUGUGGCUCCUAGAAUUAUCUAGAGACAAUCAGAGGACAAACACAAGAUUGUAAACAUAAACCAGGAGAGGCUGGGUCACUUGCUGAACAUCUGUAGGUCUUCUUGCUGUACCAAUCAACUAGGAAUGAAAGCCAUUUUUAUGGCCAGAAAAACUACUUUUUGGCCGCUUGAGACCUCAGGAAAGCUACGGUGUAAUAAUCCAUGCCUUCAAGAGUGUCACCUCUCCAGAGAAGGGAUCUAGGUAAUUCAACAUUGGCUAUCCUUAGCAUCGACAGGGUGUUCCCAUAAAUAUGGUAUUUGUGCCCAUCUCUCCAUGAGAAAAGGAAAAUACAAGAAAUAACAGAAGCUGUGAUGAUUUCAGAAUUAUCACAGGGACCUUGAAAUUAUCAUUCUGAAAAUAAAAUUGUUUCUACAAAAGGC